AGGUUAUAAGGAGAAAGAACCAAAGGGUUCUUUGGGCUAAAUGUGCUUUAUAUACAUUAUUAGUGCUUUAUUUAAAUUAUUACACUAUUGAACAUUAUAUUUGUGUUUUUACUUCAAUUUUACUUAGGCACACCUUUCAUUCUGAAGAAAACAAACUUAUAUACAUUUUCAAGUUUAAUAGGUUUAUUAGAAAAUAAUAAUUGCCGCAUUAUCCUGUAAUGAAAAAAAAAAUCUAAUUGUUUCUGGAUCUAGGCGCUAGGGGCAGAAUUCUGCCAUCUGCUGGUUAAAGAAAAUCCUGUAGGAAUGACUUAUAUUCUGAAAGUCAAUUCUUAUAACUCAACCCUCCAAACAGAUGCAUUAAAUGAUCCUCGACAUAAACAGCGAAUAACUUGCAUGUGUAUGCGCUGGUCAGUUCUUUACUGUCUGCACGCGCAGUGUCGGAUUUCAGCCGCGCGAGUCGUGCGCGAGUAAUUAGAAUGCGCGUGAACGCAGCAUUUUAAACUUCAACCGUUACGGACGUCCGUUUGAGCUCAGCGCUCGAGAGGACGACGAUUAAAUUGAAUCAAAAAGAAGAAAUGUGGUUUACGGUGCUGUCCGGGCCUGCGCUAUUCUCCGCCAGGAGAAAACGCACAAGAAAACGAUGUUUCAGGAGCAGUCAAAUCACGUGAUCACUGUACACCCAGACUAUUAUAAACAUGAAUUCAAGAGAAACCACGAAGAACAAAGAGAGGAGGUGAUGAAGAUGCUUCUUCUGUGGAUAUAGCUAUGCAUUAUGAAAUGAAGAUGAAGAAAAGACCUUCAACUGCAAACCAAUGACACAAAAAUGUACAUUAUUUUUACUCACAGUACCAACUUUGGGAAACCUGUAAAUCUGCUAAUCUGAAGUGGCUUAUAUUUGUUUUCUAUUUUCCAUGUUUAAUGCAAUAAUUAAUAAUAAUAAAUUAAUAUUUCUGUUUGCACUCUCACUGCAGGGAUGGACUCUGGAGUGCAGCAUUACUUCAAUAAGAUGAAAAUAACACACCUGUAUGAUUCAAGAUGUCAAGCCCCCUGAACGCAAAGAGAGUCUGCAUCAAAAUGGACGUGAACCUGACUGAAAACACAGAGAUGUCAAAAGUAUCUGUUGGCUGUCUACUUUUUGUUCAAUAUGGAGCAUCCAAAUGCCAGUUUCUUUCAUUCAGCACUAUUUAGCCCUUCUCAGUACUGAAUUUGCCGCCAUGGGUCAUUUGUUUUUAUUGUUUAAAUGCUUAUCUGAAUGUUAAAUUAUCAUUUAACGCUCAUGAAUUUAAAAAAAAAAAUUCUACUAGCUAGUCUUUUAGUUCAUUUUUUUAGAAACAUUUAUUUAUGUUAACUCUUCUAACUAUUGCUCUAUGAAUUGCAGUGUUUUAUAUUGCUUGUGUCAUUGUAAAUGCUAAUAAAAAUGUCUUAAAUGAUUACA